rnacentral:rRNA from 1 species
UACGAAGGGUGCAAGCGUUGUUCGGAAUCAUUGGGCGUAAAGCGCGCGCAGGCGGAUCGAUAAGUCAGAUGUGAAAUCUCGAGGCUCAACCUCGAAACUGCGUCUGAAACUAUUGGUCUAGAAUGUCGGAGGGGGUAGGGGAAUUUCACGUGUAGGGGUAAAAUCCGUAGAGAUGUGAAGGAACACCGGUGGCGAAGGCGCCUACCUGGACGACUAUUGACGCUGAGGCGCGAAAGCGUGGGGAGCAAAC